UACUUGAAGGCAAAAUGUAAAAUUUCAGGCACCUGGGAUACUGAAAAGUGCAGUGCCAGUGAAAAGAAACUUUAGUGGCGAUUUUGUUAGUGGGGCUUAUUACGUGUCUAUUUAUAUAGAUAAAUAUUGUUACCUGCAGAAUCACGCUGCUUCUGAGGGGUCUGAUGCUACAGCCACUGCACCUGCAGAACUCCCACUGAAAUGAAGUCAACAGAGAGAGAUGAAGUCAUCAAGAAAGAACACGCAGAGGGAAGAGGAGAACCUUAUUUUGAGAUACACUUCAAAAAUUUGCUGGACUGUAUUUGGGCAACAGAGAAGACACCCCAUCAUCCUGCACCUAGGAAAUGACCAGGCAUGUGUUUGCAUUCAUGAAAACGGGAU